GGCAGCCACAACCAGCAGCCAAGUAACUUGCGAGCUUAUAAGAGAGCAGAAAAUCGUAAUAUAUUCAACGUGCUUCAUGCUAAACGCAAACAGUAAUUUAUUUAUAUUUAACAUAAAAUGCUCGAGGCCUGUGCCAAGCAAAUGUCCUUUGAUGUGUGAACGUAUCGUCUGCCGCCAGAUUCAAUUCGCUUUGAAUAUGAAAUAUGAAAUGAAAUCAAUUUGACUUGUAAUAUGCACAUGCGUGACCAGAAAUAACAUACACACACACAGAGAUACACACACAAACACACACACAUAGACACACACACACAGACACACACACACGCACACACUCAAUCAUAGUGAAUAACUUGAAAGUUUUGUGACGUCAAAAUUGAAAUUAAAAUUUAUAAACGUAAUCGACAACUGCCGAAAAUAUUUACAAAACAAGACAAACUGAGUGCAUAAAUAAUAUCUUUAUAUGUACAUACAUAUAUACAUAUACAUACAUACAUACGUAUCUGAACUAAAUCAAGACCAGAGAAGUGAACAAUCAAAAUAAUAAACAAAAAGCGUUAAGAAUACACACACAUACAUAUUUAUGUGUGUAUAUGACAGAGUUUAACGACAUUC
rnacentral:misc_RNA from 1 species